GCUUCGGUAUGGGCCGCUUCAGCCAGGCCCAUCAGAAUGUUCGUCGCACCCCUCGCUCUUCUCUCCCCCUGGCGAUCCCUCCCUAUCCAACCCUAGCCACCCUGCCGAUCUCCUUCGUCCUUCACGCGCGACCAGGGAAGCCCCGACAUGGCGCAGCACCCGGAGGUCGCUGGCGUGUUCCAUGCCCGGCCGUCCGAGCUCGCCAUCAUCAUCCAAGAUCGUGUGCAUGUGCCUACCCAUUCUCCUCCCGCACCUCACCCUCCACGCCUCAUCCUGCUACACUUGGGUGACACACCGGCCCUCUUCCCCGCACCCGGCGCCACUAACACCUUCCCCUCCAUCGCCUCCUCACACCGGCCGCCAGAUCUGGCCGUCACCAUCACCACCGCGCGGAACGGGCUGUCACCACCUCCCCCUGGACAAAUUGCGAGAAAGAGCAGCAAUGGAUGCCGAGAUCCGAUCUUCCCCCUCCUCUUCCUCCUCGUCCUCAUGUCUAUCCAUCUCUCUAAUCUGCAGCAACGAGAGCAUUCACCAUGUGUUCUUGCAGUGAAUUUUAGGUCAUUACAUGUGGACGAAUUGAAGCAUGUUUUGUACUCUGAACUGAAGCACGGGAAGAUGGGAUCCAAGCACGUCUUGUGGAUAUGGGAGCAAGGCUGGUAUGCACAUUGGGGACUCAUAUGGAAUUAGAGUGCGUCAAUGUAAUGCGGUAGAAAGCGCUCUGGCUUUUACGAUGCAUGAUGAAGCGAUGAUUGUUGGGUGUCAGGUAGCAGCACAACUUCGUUCACUGGAGAUGAUGCUACAUUUUCUAUAUUAGUGCCUAACAUCGUCCACGUCCUUAGGAAUCUCAUGGAAAGUUUGUAAAUACCUUUCCUUUGUACUCUUCUAUACACUAUUGAUUUUAAAAUCUAUGAUCAACUGAAAAAAGAGAAGUAUCUGUAUAUCCCCUUGUUGUUUGUCAGCUUGUGUCAUGGUGCUCACUCGUUGACCUUAACAUGUUGAAAUAAAUAUCUCUCUAGCAUGGAAUCCAGAAGACUGAAGCUAUUAGUGUUUCUUCUCUGCUGUUUUUGGCCGUCACAUGCAGCAGCCUACAUACACACGAGCCCAGCCCCAAACUACUAUACAACACUCCAAAAAAAAUCACACCCACAAUGGAGCAGGUGAAUAAUUCUCAUCCACCAACUCAUGGAAGUUUCCAAACAUUACACCUUUCCAAUAUUCUAGGUUACUCACUAUCCAAAUUGAACUAUUUGGAAUAAGGAAUAUCCACCACAUGUUUGCUUGAAUGUUUUCCUGUCAAUGCUAUACCUAAUUAACUUAGGAUGAUAGAUUCAAGAAUCCAGAUGGAGGGCAUACAUUUUAAAACAAGUUUAAAUUAUACAGUGGAUAUAUAAAGUGUAAACCAAUGUGAUGUCAUGUUCUUCUUUUUCGCAAGAAUUAUACCAUCGGAAUAUAAUAUAAGUUCAUGGUUCAAGUCUCUGAUGGAAAUAUAAUAGCAGUCUGAAGUCUGAACAUGUCAAUUUGAAGUAGAAAGAUGCAUUUAGCUGUUACUAACUGUCAACCAGCGUUCGGUGGUCUUGUUCACACAAAAGAAAAAAUGGGCAUCUCUCUGAAAAUAUUCUCAAAAUUCUUCUUUAGUCGAAGAAAAAAAAUGUGCAUUGCCAGCUGUAGAUGGGUGAUUGGCCAUCUGAGAAGGCAAACGAUGGCUGAGUAUAAUAUAAGUUCAUGGUUCAAGUCUCUGAUGGAAAUAUAAUGGCAGUCUGAAGUCUGAACAUGUCAAUUUGAAGUAGAAAGAUGCAUUUAGCUGUUAUUAAUUGUCAACCAGCGUUCGGUGGUCUUGUUCACACAAAAGAAAAAAUGGGCAUCUCUCUGAAAAUAUUCUCAAAAUUCUUCUUUAGUCGAAGAAAAAAAAUGUGCAUUGCCAGCUGUAGAUGGGUGAUUGGCCAUCUGAGAAGGCAAACGAUGGUUGAGUUAAGUAAGUUUCUUUGUGGUGCAUAUGUGUGAGACCUGGGAUUUAAAUGCAAGAAGGUAUGUGAAUCUAGAUGAAAUCCCUGGAGGGGUAUGAUCUCACAUGGACAUUGUUCAUCAUUAAAGUUAUGCCCUCCCUGGAGGAACUAUAUUUGACAGUAUGUUCGUAUCCGAAGCUCGAUCUCUUCUUUCUACUGUGUGGAGUCACCUGUGUAAAAUGGAAAUGGAUGAGAGCACUCUUGUAGGAUUGGACUAGGCAUAGGUGCCCGAUAACUAGACAUGGAGGCCCGGAUCCGACCUUCCCUGCUUGAUCUUCCUUUUUUCCUGACCUUCCCGCUCGGUAACAUACUUUACCUAACCUGACCUAACACAUUGAGGUAGUCUUAUGCUCAACUGGUUCUUCAAUGAGAUCUCUUAGAAUCUGGAACAUAGGAGCAGACAUAUACUUGAUGUCUCAAGUUGCUUCACAGAGGCCAUCGUCAUCUUAUACACUGCUUAUAUCAACGCCGACAACUCAAAGCCACCCCUAUCUGGUCAGUUUAGGUCUCCUGGAAUCUGUAUUUGCUGAAAAUAUCUGUACUUACUGAAAAUUGCAGAACUUAAACUCCUUUGAAUAUUAAAAUGCGUGUGCAUUUGUGUGAUA